GCCGAAUUAGCUCAGUUGGCUAGAGCGCGACACUAGUAAUGUCGAGGUCACGGUUUCGAGCACCGUAUUCGGCU
rfam:Giardia lamblia ATCC 50803 SC_592 genomic scaffold, whole genome shotgun sequence.